GAUCCUGGCUCAGGACGAACGCUGGCGGCGCGCCUAACACAUGCAAGUCGAACGAGAGAGAGGGAGCUUGCUUCCUCAAUCGAGUGGCGAACGGGUGAGUAACGCGUGAGGAACCUGCCUCAAAGAGAGGGACAACAGUUGGAAACGACUGCUAAUACCGCAUAAGCCCACAGCUCGGCAUCGAGCAGAGGGAAAAGGAGCAAUCCGCUUUGAGAUGGCCUCGCGUCCGAUUAG
rnacentral:rRNA from 1 species